CCCCUGGUGGCUCAGAUGAUAAAGAAUCUGCCUGCAAUGCAGGAGACCCAGGUUCGAGUCCUGGGUUGGGAA
rnacentral:tRNA from 1 species